UACAGAGGGUGCAAGCGUUGUUCGGAAUUAUUGGGCGUAAAGCGCGUGUAGGCGGCAUUGCAAGUCGGGUGUGAAAGCCCUCGGCUCAACCGAGGAAGUGCGCCCGAAACUGCUUUGCUUGAGUGUUGGAGAGGAUAGCGGAAUUCCCCAAGUAGAGGUGAAAUUCGUAGAUAUGGGGAGGAACACCGGUGGCGAAGGCGGCUAUCUGGACAAUAACUGACGCUGAGACGCGAAAGCGUGGGGAGCAAACAGG
rnacentral:rRNA from 1 species